rnacentral:rRNA from 1 species
GAUGAACGCUGGCGGCGUGCCUAAUACAUGCAAGUCGAGCGAACAGACGAGGAGCUUGCUCCUCUGACGUUAGCGGCGGACGGGUGAGUAACACGUGGAUAACCUACCUAUAAGACUGGGAUAACUUCGGGAAACCGGAGCUAAUACCGGAUAAUAUAUUGAACCGCAUGGUUCAAUAGUGAAAGACGGUUUUGCUGUCACUUAUAGAUGGAUCCGCGCCGCAUUAGCUAGUUGGUAAGGUAACGGCUUACCAAGGCAACGAUGCGUAGCCGACCUGAGAGGGUGAUCGGCCACACUGGAACUGAGACACGGUCCAGACUCCUACGGGAGGCAGCAGUGGGGAAUCUUCCGCAAUGGGCGAAAGCUUGACGGAGCAACGCCGCGUGAGUGAUGAAGGUCUUCGGAUCGUAAAACUCUGUUAGUAGGGAAGAACAAAUGUAUAAGUAACUAUGCCCGUCUUGACGGUACCUAAUCAGAAAGCCACGGCUAACUACGUG